CAGUCGCCACGGUAAUACGUAGGGUGCGAGCGUUAAUCGGAAUUACUGGGCGUAAAGCGUGCGCAGGCGGUUGUGUAAGACAGGUGUGAAAUCCCCGGGCUUAACCUGGGAACUGCGCUUGUGACUGCACAGCUAGAGUAUGGCAGAGGGGGGUGGAAUCCCACGUGUAGCAGUGAAAUGCGUAGAGAUGUGGAGGAACACCGAUGGCGAAGGCAGCCCCCUGGGCCAAUACUGACGCUCAUGCACGAAAGCGUGGGGAGCAAACAGGAUUAGAUACCCCCGUAGUCCCUGUCUCUUAUAC
rnacentral:rRNA from 1 species